CUUCCCAUUUAUUUGCUGCUAUUGUCUCUCAGUGAUAUGAGCAGUUAUACGCGUGGGAUAAAUAACAUUUGGCUAUUGUAAUUGAGAUGAAGUAAUCAUUUCAUCUCUUCUGCAUGUCUAGACACUU
rnacentral:snoRNA from 1 species